AAUCACACAUUGUUCCAAUUAACCCUCUAUGGCAUGGUGUUGCCCACAGGCAACAAACCACAUAUCUAUACCUCACGUUCCUCCUUUAUUUUAUUUUUUGGGGGGCGUGAUUUAA